ensembl:lncRNA
CAGUUAAAAUUACGUCAGUUCUGGAAUAGUAUUCAUCUGCUGACCUGGAGGGAGAUGCAUGUGUCCAUCUGGGAGAUGUAGAAGUGCACUGGAUCCCUCCCCACCUUAAGGACCUGUGAGACUUCCAGGCAUCGCUUGCUCCCUGUGACCUAGAAUCUGCAGAGAGCCAAGGCAGCACAGGAUGGAACACAUGGCAGGAAGCAGCAAACGAUAGCCACUGUACUUCCUUACACCAAUGGGACACUGGUGCUGCUCUGACUUCAGAUAAACCUGUUGGAUCCAGAUCAAACAGGACUGUCGUUUUCGUCCAUACAGCCCAUCUGUCAUGCUACUGCUCAGCACUCUUCAUGUUGCUGUGGAUCAUUCUUGUGCUUUGAGGAGCCUGCCCUUGAUCAUCUCAAACCAACUUAGCUGGGUCUGAAGCUCCAGCAUGGUGCUUUAAGCAUUGCUAAGUGCAUUUCCUUAGCAGCCGUGGCAUCUGUGGGCACCCUCAUUUCUCUGUGCUGGUUUUCUAUGGCAUUCCAAAAACAGUGGAUGGGUUGGAGGUUUCUUUUGAGGUCUAAGGUGAGGUUGAUCUAGGAAAAAAUUAGAGCUGUAAGAUAAAGCCUCUGACACAAAAGAACAGUUCGCAUAAAGAUAAAAAGAUAAUGUUUCUGAGACUAAACCUGCUUCUUUGGGAUCAAAUAUACAGUUGGUAUUUAUUUUCCCGAAAUCUAAACAUCAUCAUGCACGUCAUCUUUUUUUUUUUUAUUUUGCUUCAAAUGCAUGUCUGUUCUGACAUCUCUUACACACACCACAGUGAAUGCAUGAACAGAAAAAGAUAGCUUUUUCCACAUUAGCAAGCUAAUUGAAAGCAACACUUCCUUGUAGAUUCUUGUUUCUUCAAAGAAAAGAUAAGAAAACAAACAGUCCAGAAUGACUGACAUUAAAUGCACUAUUCUGAGGUGUUGAUAUGGCACUGAUGAGUAUUGAAUAAGAACCUAUAUGCAAUGGUGUAAAACAUCAUGCUUCAGCUUUAUGUUUUUCACAGUCCCAGUGCACUAGAAGGGAUAUCCAAAUGGUGCCUUCUGAAUUAAACCAGUUUGAGGAAUAUCAGAGGAAAAUGGUUUUCAUCUUCAAUUCUGAAGUCUGUAAAAGAAAGCUUUAGGAAAGCAUGAGGAUGAAUAUCUAAAGGGCCUAAGAAAGAUACACUAAAUGCACCAGGAAAGACCAUUCAAUUAAUAGCAAGACAGUGUGUGUGUGAGUGUCUAGAUCAUAUCUGAGGGUUCUUUUACAAGCAGUUGUCUUCAAAGCACCCUUGGAACAAGAAAUCUCAUUCUUUGGAUUACACAAAAUAUGUUGCAUUGACAGAGUCAGAAUUAGAACUGAACAGUAACAACAAAAACCUGGAGUGCCCAAACAUGCCAAGGCACUAAGUUAGGGAGCACUGCAAGUCAUCUGGUGUUGGAUGGGACAGUGUUUGUCCUGGAUCAGAGUGACCUAAGAGAUCAGUAUAAUAACACCCAUAGUAAAGAAGCAGUUGUGUCAAACAAACAAAAAUUUAGCACACGAUUAAAGUGCCAACAUGGAAAAUUUGGGUAGAUACAGAUGCGGACAACAAAGCUUUUUCCAAUGGAGAAAUGCCAGCAGGAUCUGAGAGUGUUAGAGAACUUGCCAUGGAGACAAGGACUAAAAAGUGAAAUUUCAUACAUUUUGCUUUUAUAACAAUUAUUUAUUUUUUUCUUUAUUAGCAUUGAGUUGAUGCCUGUAUUUGGGGUUCUGAAAGGAAAUAGCAUUUAUGUAGAGUAUGUGAUGUGGUACUGACUGGGAUAGGAGAACUUCCCUUUUAUGAAAAUUGCUUUAAUUUUCACUUGUUCCGUGGUCCAGACAAAGCUGCAUAUAUGAGGAUAUGUAACUUGCAACUGCUUCCCAGAAAUCCUCAAACGAUUCAGGAUAAAAAUAAAACUGUAGAACAACACAGAAGUUUAAGAGUGCAAAAAUAAUUAAGAGUAAAGAUAUUUUCCAGACCUGUGAAAGAAAAGGGUGCUAUCUGAAAAUAAAUAACUUUUAAGCUUGGGGGAAUUACUUUGAUUCCUUUAAUCUCAUAUGAUCAUAUUGAUUUUUGUUAAAUUCCUGAUACUUAGCAUAGGCAUUGGAGUAAAUUUUGUAAUGAAGAUCUAACCUAAGAUUCCAAAAUAGAAGGACACAGCCACUUCUGACAGCUGCUAGUGAAGAGAAACAAUUUAUAUAUACAAGAAUCAAUAGGUAAAAUGUUCUGGC